CAGUCGCCGCGGUAAUACGGAGGAUCCGAGCGUUAUCCGGAAUUAUUGGGUUUAAAGGGUGCGUAGGCGGAUAGAUAAGUCAGUGGUGAAAGACGGUGGCUCAACCAUCGCAGUGCCGUUGAUACUGUUUAUCUUGAAUAUGGAUGAGGUAGGCGGAAUGUGGCAAGUAGCGGUGAAAUGCAUAGAUAUGCCACAGAACACCGAUUGCGAAGGCAGCUUACCAAGGCAAAAUUGACGCUGAGGCACGAAAGCGUGGGGAUCGAACAGGAUUAGAUACCCCGGUAGUCCCUGUCUCUUAUAC
rnacentral:rRNA from 1 species